GGAGUUUGAGUGGCAGGGAACCACAACAGGACGCAGCGUUCGCAAUGCUGAGGUUGAGGGUUCGAUCCCCUUCCGCUCCA
rnacentral:tRNA from 1 species